UACGGAGGGGGCGAGCGUUGUCCGGAUUUAUUGGGCGUAAAGAGCGUGUAGGCGGUUCGGUAAGUCUGUCGUGAAAUCCUGAGGCUCAACCUCGGGCGUGCGAUGGAUACUGAUCGACUCGAAGGCAGGAGAGGGUAGUGGAAUUCCCGGUGUAGUGGUGAAAUGCGUAGAUAUCGGGAGGAACACCAGUGGCGAAGGCGACUACCUGGCCUGUUCUUGACGCUGAGGCGCGAAAGCUAGGGGAGCAAACGGG
rnacentral:rRNA from 1 species